UACGAAGGGGGCUAGCGUUGUUCGGAAUUACUGGGCGUAAAGGGCGCGUAGGCGGCCUUCUAAGUCGAACGUGAAAUCCCCGGGCUCAACCCGGGAACUGCGUCCGAUACUGGAAGGCUUGAAUCCGGGAGAGGGAUGCGGAAUUCCAGGUGUAGCGGUGAAAUGCGUAGAUAUCUGGAGGAACACCGGUGGCGAAGGCGGCAUCCUGGACCGGCAUUGACGCUGAGGCGCGAAAGCCAGGGGAGCAAACGGG
rnacentral:rRNA from 1 species